GUCUACUGAUUUGCUAAUUUGAUGUCCCAGCCUGCACUAACUCACCUUCCUCAUUUCUGUCACAGGGCUUCCCAUCUCGACUGCCACCACAAUACCCAGGAGAUUCAAAUAUUGCUCCCUCUUCCAACGUGGCUUCUGUUUGCAUCCAUUCUACAGUCCUAGCCCCUCCUCCUAUGCCAACAGAAGCAUUGGCCACCCAAGGUUACUUUCCUACAGUAGUGCAGCCUUAUGUGGAAUCAACUCCUUUGGUUCCUAUGGGCAGUGUAGGAGGCCAGGUUCAAGUGUCCCAACCAGCAGUGAGUUUAUCGCAACAACCCCCCACUACAUCCUCCCAGCAAGCAGUUUUGGAGGUAAAUGGAAUUACUGCAUGGUUAUAUAGAAAACAUCUAUUGAACAUGGG
rnacentral:lncRNA from 1 species